GGAAUGAUGUGAGGAAGACCAUCCAUGGAAUGUACUGAGCGACCUGAAGCCCUGGAUCACCCGACCCGGGCUGAAUUUAUCGAACUCUUUCAAGCUAUCCAAGGAUUAGCUAUAGCUGUAGGACAAAAUCAAGCCAACCCUUGUCCACUCUUGCCCCAGAAUUUUGAAACACUGAGAGAUCAAUUUCCCACAACAUAAUAGAGUUUAGAAAACUUAACCUCCCGGACUUUGAAGGUGGCCCUGAUCCCUUAGUAACUGAAGCCUGAAUCCUACAGAUAGAGAAGCUCUUCUCUGUCCUAGACCUAAGUGAGGAACAGAAAGUUCCCCUUACAGCCUUUAUGUUAAACGGUGAGCAGAACACUAGUGGCUACUUAAAAAGGAAGUCUUGCCUACCCCUACCACCUGGAAAGUUCUCAUGGAUGCGUUCUUUGAUAACUUCUUCCCUGCCUAUGUACAGGAAAAGAAGGAGGAGAAAUUUCAGGACCUCUACCAAGAGAGUCUAACGAUCGCUAUUAUGCAGCC
rnacentral:lncRNA from 1 species